rnacentral:rRNA from 1 species
CAGCCGCCGCGGUAAUACAGAGGGUGCGAGCGUUAAUCGUAUUUACUGGGCGUAAAGCGUGCGUAGGCGGCUUCUUAAGUCGGAUGUGAAAUCCCUGAGCUUAACUUAGGAAUUGCAUUCGAUACUGGGAAGCUAGAGUAUGGGAGAGGAUGGUAGAAUUCCAGGUGUAGCGGUGAAAUGCGUAGAGAUCUGGAGGAAUACCGAUGGCGAAGGCAGCCAUCUGGCCUAAUACUGACGCUGAGGUACGAAAGCAUGGGGAGCAAACAGGAUUAGAUACCCCGGUAGUCCCUGUCUCUUAUAC